rnacentral:piRNA from 1 species
UGCAUGAACCCAAGCGGGGCCACUUGA